rnacentral:rRNA from 1 species
AGGACGAACGCUGGCGGCGUGCUUAACACAUGCAAGUCGAGCGAGGCCCCUCCUUCGGGAGGGUGUCCUAGCGGCGAACGGGUGAGUAACACGUGGGUGACCUGCCCUCAGCUCUGGGAUAAGCCUGGGAAACCGGGUCUAAUACCGGAUAGGACUGCUUGCCGCAUGGUGGGUGGUGGAAAGUUUUUUCGGCUGGGGAUGGGCCCGCGGCCUAUCAGCUUGUUGGUGGGGUGAUGGCCUACCAAGGCGGUGACGGGUA